GAGAAUGGCUAAAAACGAUAUUUCGGGUCUGGAGCUGAGCCAUCUCCAGUGCGCAGGUUUGCCUUCCUGGAGCUGAAGCAGAGACCCAGAAGCAGGUUCUCCUCGUCACUCCCCAGGUGCCUAGGCAGGAUGGGCUCCAGGCUGCUCAGGUCCACGCCUCGCCUCACUUGCUCCCAGCUCGGAUGCUGCCGUACUAGCCUUUGCCAAGGGCCUCAGAGAUGUCCCUGGAGGCAGGAACCCUAGCAAGUCCUCCCCAUCUGUUUCUUCUCGGGUUCCCCACUGCCUCCAGCGCCAGCCAGCCUCCCCAGCCUGGUGCUCAAGUCUCCUCAGAGAAGCUGCCCACGGACCUUCCUCUGCUGUUUUCCUGCUCAGUCUCAGUUCCAGAAGGUCUGAUGUCCUGGGGUUUCCAGAGACUGGAAGGAAGGAAGCUCAGAAGACCGAGGCUCUGAGGAAGGCUGAGCUGCAGCCCCAGGAAGCAUAAGAAAGGAGGCAGAAUCAACAUAAGAUGUUCCCCUGAUGCUGACCACCACCUUUUCCAAGGUUGGAAAACCUGCUAAGAAUGCUGCUUGUAAGAUGUACUCCUGACCUUAUCCUGACUUCUACGAUAAUGGUUUUCUUUCUGGCCUGAUUACAUAGUGAAGAGGAGAAGGAAAUUAGAAAACUAUGUAAUAAGUGAUUUAGAACUUAAUAAACAGUGUAAGACUCCUACAUUAUCCUCCAGUUUCUCCACCAGGCUCUGUGUCCCAGGACACUAGCUUCUACAGAUUGUAUCACAUGGAUUCACUUUUCCUCCAGCUCACAGAUGGAUUUGACCAAUGGGAAGAUCCAGAAGGAGGUCAGAGGUCAAAGUAUUGGUUGUUUCAGCUCCCUCUCUGCUUCACCAUUGCUUUAACAGUGGUCAUAUCCCUCUGCCUACAGGCACAGCUCUUUCACAGCCACAGGUCUCACAAGGGAGAGACCUUGUGUUCAACAGAAGGGGGAACCUUCUGUUCCUCCUUUUGCCACUUUAUUUCUCUGAGAUGUUUCAUCAUCCUUUGUCAGUUCCCUUUACCUUUUCACCUCUAUCAACACUAUUAAAC
ensembl:lncRNA